rnacentral:rRNA from 1 species
AUUGAACGCUGGCGGCAUGCCUAACACAUGCAAGUCGAACGGCAGCGCGUUUGGGGUAACCCAAAUGGCGGCGAGUGGCGGACGGGUGAGUAAUAUGUAGGAAUCUGCCCAGAGAUAAGGGAUAACUUAGGGAAACCUAAGCUAAUACCAUAUAAGCCCGAGAGGGGAAAGCAGGGGACCGAAAGGGCUUGCGUCUUUGGAUGAGCCUACAUCGGAUUAGCUUGUUGGUGAGGUAAAGGCUCACCAAGGCGACGAUCCGUAGCUGGUCUGAGAGGAUGACCAGCCACACUGGGACUGAGACACGGCCCAGACUCCUACGGGUGGCAGCAGUGGGGAAUAUUGGACAAUGGGGGAAAGCCUGAUCCAGCAAUGCCGCGUGUGUGAAGAAGGCCUUCGGGUUGUAAAGCACUUUCAGUUGGGAGGAAGGGGUGAGCACUAAUACUGUUCAUCAUUGACGUUACCGUCAGAAGAAGCACCGGCUAACUCCGUGCCAGCCGCCGCAGUAA